CAGGGAUCCCUACCUGAACACUGCAGGUGACUUUUACCCUGGGAUUCAGAAAUGUCUACAGGACUGAGCCUGGGCCCGCUAAAGUCACCUGACAACAAAGCUGCUGAAAUAUCUUCCUGACAUGUAUCCCCUACAUGUGUCCAGCUCUAGAUAAUUCACUCAGCAGAUUCAAGUUGCCAAGUCCUGUCAGUUUUCUCUUGGAUGAAGGCUUCCAUUUCCACAACUGCUGCUCUUGUUCAGGGAACAGAAUAGCCACAAGACUGGUUUCCCAAAUAAAUCUACACAGUAUCACCAUAUCAAUCUUGAUGAAACACUGCUUUCAUUAUGUUCCUCUCUCCUGCCACACUAUUCAAUGGCUCCCCAAAGCCUGCAGGGAAAAUUCCAAACUUAGUAGCUUUUUGGUGAAGGCACUCCUCAGUUUAACACCAACAUACUUUUCCAAAUACUUUCACACACAAAUCCUCCAUUUCAAACAAUACAGACUAUUUACUGACCAUCAAAUAAGAAUUCCAAUCUCACACAUUUGCUCACAGACCUGCCAACCUGCCAACCUGCCUUCUAUGAUAGACAUCCAUCCACUGACCUGAGGGGUUCCCUUAUCAGGUAUUUUCUCCCUUCUCUGAACUCCUGUGGCAUUUCAUAGUUGUAUUAAGGAGACAGCAAAUUACCUAUAGAGUAACAACAGGAUGAA